UCGAACGGGAUCCUUCGGGAUUUAGUGGCGGACGGGUGAGUAACGCGUGAGAAUCUGCCCUCAGGAGGGGGACAACGACUGGAAACGGUCGCUAAUACCCCAUAUGCCGAGAGGUGAAAUGUUUUUUCGCCUGAGGAUGAGCUCGCGUCAGAUUAGCUAGUUGGUGGGGUAACGGCCUACCAAGGCGACGAUCUGUAGCUGGUCUGAGAGGAUGAUCAGCCACACUGGGACUGAGACACGGCCCAGACUCCUACGGGAGGCAGCAGUGGGGAAUUUUCCGCAAUGGGCGAAAGCCUGACGGAGCAAGACCGCGUGAGGGAUGACGGCCUAAUGGUUGUAAACCUCUUUUCUCUGGGAAGAUAAUGACGGUACCAGAGGAAUAAGCCUCGGCUAACUCCGUGCCAGCAGCCGCGGUAAUACGGAGGAGGCAAGCGUUAUCCGGAAUUAUUGGGCGUAAAGCGUCCGUAGGUGGUUAAUCAAGUCAGCUGUUAAAGAGCGGAGCUUAACUCCGUUAGAGCGGUUGAAACUGAUUGACUAGAGUUUGGUAGGGGUCGAGGGAAUUCCCAGUGUAGCGGUGAAAUGCGUAGAUAUUGGGAAGAACACCGGUGGCGAAAGCGCUCGACUGGGCCUGAACUGACACUGAGGGACGAAAGCUAGGGGAGCGAAAGGGAUUAGAUACCCCUGUAGUCCUAGCCGUAAACGAUGGAUACUAGGUGUUGCUCGUUA
rnacentral:rRNA from 1 species